rnacentral:snRNA from 1 species
AUCGCUUCUUGGCCUUUUGGCUAAGAUCAAGUACAGUAUCUAUUCUUAUCAGUGAGUAUCUGAUAUGUUUCUAUCUAAGCACAAUAUACUAAAUGGAUGUCUGCAGCAGGGAGAUGGGAUAAGGAGCUUGCUCUAUCCACCCCACGCAUCAACCGGGUAUUGUGAUAUUGCAGUACCUCCAGAAACGGUACACUCCUC